UUUAUGGCAGCAGUAAUUUAGUGUCUGUCCUAAUCCAGAAUGGGUGAAAUAUCAUGUUUUUGAGACUUUUAUGUGAUGUGUGUUACAACCAAAUCAAUAUACCUAAGGUGAGAUAAUGUUAUCAUCAUUUGUUCUUUUUCAGUUUACAAUCAUGUCUAGUGUCUUAUAUCCUAAAUUUCGUAAGAGUGAAACAGGCGAACUCCUCCUCAGUGAUUCUGUGGAAGGGAGGCUUGCAGCUGCAAAUCGCCCAAAGUGGUCACCAGCGCUUACCACUGUGGUUGUACACAAAGAGGCCAGGGAAAGAGUCGCUGCCAGACAAGGCGAUUUAACUGAUGAAAGAGAUGUACUUGGUGAGUACAUCCUCCAGUGUGGGAAGUAUAGGGGAAAGUGUUUCCGGUGGCUUUUGGAGAAUGUCCCCGGAUAUUGUGGAUGGUUUGUUGGACAGAUCAUCAAGGAUGAAGGGAAACAAGACCUGUCUAGUGUUCAGCAAAGACACAACAAGCGCUACAUGCAAAUGUUUGAGGAGGGGCGCGCCAUUAUUCAAAUGAAAAGCGAAGAAAAAUGCAAGUCAAGCACCUCUCAGUUGAAGGCCCUUGUCACAACAGAGCGACAGCUAUCAACUGGGGCCCUUGUGCAGAAGGCCAAGACACUUUUUGCCCCG